rnacentral:rRNA from 1 species
CCUACGGGAGGCAGCAGUGGGGAAUAUUGGGCAAUGGAGGAAACUCUGACCCAGCGACGCCGCGUGCGGGAUGAAGGCCUUCGGGUUGUAAACCGCUUUCAGCAGGGAAUAAGCGCAAGUGAAGGUACCUGCAGAAGAAGCACCGGCUAACUAUGUGCCAGCAGCCGCGGUAAUACAUAGGGUGCAAGCGUUGUCCGGAAUUAUUGGGCGUAAAGAGCUCGUAGGUGGUUUGUUACGUCGGUUGUGAAAUUCAGGGGCUCAACCCCUGACUUGCAGCCGAUACGGGCAAGCUAGAGUUUGGUAGGGGAGACUGGAAUUCCUGGUGUAGCGGUGGAAUGCGCAGAUAUCAGGAGGAACACCGAUGGCGAAGGCAGGUCUCUGGGCCAAUACUGACACUGAGGAGCGAAAGCGUGGGGAGCGAACAGGAUUAGAUACCCUGGUAGUCCACGCCGUAAACGGUGGGCGCUAGUUGUGCGAAACCUUCCACGGUUUGUGCGACGCNGCUACGACAUAAGACGCCCGCCCGCGGGAGGUACGAGUCGCGAAGAAGUUAAAACUUAAACUAAAGUAAAGUUAAGUUAGUACGUUGUUAGAGNGCGACGACGACGACGACGGAGGAGGAG